UUUUAAAAAUUCGGAAAAAAUAAUAAUAAUUCGACGAAAAAUAUAAAUAUUAAAAAUUAUUAAUUAAUAUAACAAAAACGGGAAAAAGUUUUUUUACAAAUAUUAAAAAAAUUUCGUUGGUUGGAACCAAAAAUACUUCGAAUUAUAUAAUAUAUUAAUCCAAAAAAUAUUAAAAAAUUAUUUGGAAACGAACGGUAUUACGUUAUUAAAAAAAACGAACGAAAAACGAAAUAAACGGUUUGUAAAAACGUUGGAAUUGGAAUACGAAAAUUUAUUAAUACCCGAAAAAAUAUCGAACGUAAUUCCAAUAUUAAAUAAAUAAAAUCCCCAAAUACCAAUUUUAAAAAUAAUAAAAUAAUUAACAAAUAUUAUUCCGAAAAACAAAUAAUAAAAUAAACCAAACCAAAAUACGAAAACGGGGGCAAUUAAUAUUAUUUUUUUUGCGAAUUAGGGGUUUAGGAGUUUUUUAAAAUUUAUACCAAAACAAAAUUCCGACGAAAAUAAAAUUUCGGAAAUUUCGAAAAUAAAUGUACGGGGUUAUAUAAUAAAUCUAAUUAAUAUAACGAAUGAAUUAAAAUAAUCCCACGUAAAAAUAUUUAUAAUUAUUUAUUUUUAUUUUAAAUUCCGAAUAAAAAAAUGGAACCGUAUAUAAUGAAAUUUUUUUCGAACGUUUGAAAUAAAUUUAA
rnacentral:sRNA from 1 species